GCAGGCGCCGCGGCUAAUGAAGGGCUGAGGAUUUGGCGGCGGCACCCCGAGAGUCCGGGCGAGGGGGCUUUGUGCGCUGCGACGGCUGCCAGCACGGAGGCGGAGGCCCAGGGGCUGUGCACAGGUCGCCGCGGAGAGGAUGCGAUUUCCCAGUCGAGCGUCGAGAACCCUGCUGCCCAGGCCGGGCUGCCAGACAUAGGCUCCUCUCUGGCGCAGCGGGGGCGCGGCGACCCCCGUCUCUCGGCCUCCCCUUCCCGCCCCACCUCCCGAGCCUUCCUCCUGCCGCAGCAUGCCUGGCCUGACCCGGCUGUGGCCGUCCUCGAUCUCCGUGUCCCUCCUGUGAUUGGGGCGUUAGAACGGGACAAACUGAAGGCCUGAUGAGAGGAAGGGAAAGUUAAGAAUGCUGGAGCAGAACAAUGGAUUUCUCUUUCUCUUUCAUGCAAGGGAUCACGGGAAACACAGUUCAACGACCACCUCAACUCAUUGACUCCACCAGCAUCCAUCAGGAGGAUGCCUUUGAUAACAACAGUGACAUUGCUGAAAAUGGUGGCCAGACACCAUAUGAAGCUACCUUGCAGCAAAGCUUUCAGUACUUAUCUACAACACAUCUUCCUUCACUCACAAAUGGCUACCAUCAAUCAGCAUGUAUGAAACUCAAACCAAAUACCAGUCGUAUAAUCGAUAUCCUAAUGGGUCAGCCAAUGGCUUUGGUGCAGUUACAAACUUUUAGCCCCACUGACUAUUAUCAUUCAGAAAUUCUAAACACUAGACCACAUGAAAUUCUAGAAAAACCUUCCCCUCCACAGCCAUCACUCCCCUCCUUCAGUACCACAAACUGUGAUUCCGAAGAAGACUGGCUCACCUGAAGUUAAACUAAAAAUAACCAGAACUAUCCAGAAUGGCAGGGAAUUGUUCAAAUCUUCCCUUUGUGGAGACCUUUUAAAUGAAGUACAGGCAAGUGAGCACACGAGAAGUCAAAGCAUGAAAGCAGAAAAGAGAAAAAAAACCAAAAAGCAUGACUCAUCAAGAUCUGAAGAGUGCAAGUCACACAAAAUCCCCAAAUUAGAACCAGAGGAACAAAAUAGACCAAAUGAGAGGGUUGACACCAUAUCAGAAAAACCAAGGGAAGAUCCAGUACUAAAAGAGGAAGCCCCAGUUCAGCCAAUACUAUCUUCUGUUCCAACAACAGAAGUGUCUACUGGUGUUAAAUUUCAGGUUGGUGAUCUUGUGUGGUCCAAGGUGAGAACCUAUCCGUGGUGACCUUGUAUGGAUUCAAGUGAUCCCCAGCUUGAGGUUCAUUUCAAAAUUAACACAAGAGGUGCCCGAGAAUAUCAUGUCCAGUGUUUUAGCAAACAGCCAGAGAGGGCGUGGGUUCAUGAAAAAUGGGUACAGGAGUAUAAAGAUCAUAAGCAGUAUGAAGAAUUACUGGCUGAGGCAACCAAACGAGCCAGCAAUCACUCUGAGAAACAAAAGAUUCGGAAACCCUGACCUCAGAGAGAACAUGCUCAAUGGGAUUUUGGCUUUGCCCAUGCAGAGAAAGCAUUGAAAAUGACUUGAGAAGAAAGAAUAGAACAGCAUACUUUUAUCUAUAUUGAUAAACAACCUGAAGAGGGUUUAUCCCAAGCAAAAAAGAAUGUUGGGGCCGGGUGCACCGAAGUUAAAAAAAAAACCUGAUGACCGAGAUCUGUGCUUUGUACUCAGCCAGAAUAGACCAAUGCAGGGGAGAUGGCCUCCUCACUCUCAAGUACUGACAUUCGAAGACACAGCCAGAGGCAGCACACAAGUGUAGAGGAGGAAGAGCCACCUCCUGUUAAAAUAGCCUGGAAAACUGUGGCAGCAAGGAAAUCCUACCAGCUUCCAUUACAAUGCACAAAGGGAGUCUGGAUUUGCAGAAGUGUAACAUGUCUCCAGCUGUGAAAAUUGAACAAGUGUUUGCUCUUCAGAAUGCUACAGAGGAUGGGAAAUUAAUCAACUUGUUUAUUCAACAAAGGGAAUUGGUAACAAAACAGAAAUAAGUGUCAGGGGGCAAGACAGGCUUAUAAUUUCUAGACCAAACCAGAGAAAUGAAAAGCCAGUGCAGAAUAUAUCAUCUCUUGAAGCAACAUCUGGUUCUACAGGCUCAGCAGAAAAGAAGCAACAGAGAAGAUCAAUUAGAACUCGUUCUGAAUCAGAGAAGUCUACUGAGGUUGUGUCAAAGAAGAUAAGAAAGGAGCAGGUUGAAACAGUUCCUCGGGCUGCAGUGAAGACCAGAUUACAGGAAGGGUGGGCAGACUGGGGAGUGCAGGGCUCUGUCAGAUCCAGUGACAGCUCUGUCUUCACAGCGGUUGAGGAAACUGUAGACUGA